rnacentral:rRNA from 1 species
UCGCGCGGUUUAUUAAUGACGAUGAUAUCUUCAUCUUCAUAGACGAUAUCCAGCGGGAUAUCCUGCGGUUCAAAACGCGCUUCUUCUUCAAUCUCAGCGUUGAUGGCAACCUGCUCGCCACCCAAUACUUUUUCUUUCGGCUUAUCACAAAGUUUGCCGUUAACCAGCACGCGCUGGUCGAGGAUCCAUUCUUUUAUUCGCGAACGUGAAUAAUCCGGGAACAUUUCGGCCAAAGCCUGAUCUAAGCGUUGACCGAGUUGGUUUUCGGACACCGUUGCAGUGAGCUGUACUCGUUGUGCCAUAUAUACUGCUUCUUCGUUUAUCGUUGGGGUUUUACGGCUUUGCCGUUUAAUAUAGUGUGCUAUUGUAGCUGGUCUUAACCGGGAGCAGGAACAGAGAAUCUCCCGUAUUACAUUUUGAGGAAAGUCAAAACGUCAUGACGCGCAUGAAAUAUCUGGUGGCAGCCGCCACACUAAGCCUGUUUUUGGCGGGUUGCUCGGGGUCAAAGGAAGAAGUACCUGAUAAUCCGCCAAAUGAAAUUUACGCGACUGCACAACAAAAGCUGCAGGACGGUAACUGGAGACAGGCAAUAACGCAACUGGAAGCGUUAGAUAAUCGCUAUCCGUUUGGUCCGUAUUCGCAGCAGGUGCAGCUGGAUCUCAUCUACGCCUACUAUAAAAACGCCGAUUUGCCGUUAGCGCAGGCUGCCAUCGAUCGUUUUAUUCGCCUUAACCCGACCCAUCCGAAUAUCGAUUAUGUCAUGUACAUGCGUGGCCUGACCAAUAUGGCGCUGGAUGACAGUGCGCUGC